GAUGAACGCUGGCGGCGUGCCUAAUACAUGCAAGUCGAGCGAACAGAUGAGGAGCUUGCUCCUCUGACGUUAGCGGCGGACGGGUGAGUAACACGUGGAUAACCUACCUAUAAGACUGGGAUAACUUCGGGAAACCGGAGCUAAUACCGGAUAAUAUAUUGAACCGCAUGGUUCAAUAGUGAAAGACGGUUUUGCUGUCACUUAUAGAUGGAUCCGCGCCGCAUUAGCUAGUUGGUAAGGUAACGGCUUACCAAGGCAACGAUGCGUAGCCGACCUGAGAGGGUGAUCGGCCACACUGGAACUGAGACACGGUCCAGACUCCUACGGGAGGCAGCAGUAGGGAAUCUUCCGCAAUGGGCGAAAGCCUGACGGAGCAACGCCGCGUGAGUGAUGAAGGUCUUCGGAUCGUAAAACUCUGUUAUUAGGGAAGAACAAAUGUGUAAGUAACGAUGCACGUCUUGACGGUACCUAAUCAGAAAGCAACGGCUAACUACGU
rnacentral:rRNA from 1 species